rnacentral:rRNA from 1 species
UUAUAUCAGUUAUGGUUCCUUAGAUUGUUAACAGUUACUUGGAUAACUGUGGUAAUUCUAGAGCUAAUACAUGCAAUAUAAACAUGUACCAUAGUGUAUUUAUAUAUUAUGAGACAUGUGCUUUUAUUAGGCAAAAACCAAGCAAUUGACGAUUCGUUGUUGAUUGUUGAACUUUGGUUGAACUCUAGAUAACUCGCUGAUCGUAUGGUCUAGUACCGACGACAGAUCUUUCAAAUGUCUGCCCUAUCAACUUUUGAUGGUAGUAUAUUGGACAACCAUGGUUGCUACGGGUAACGGGGAAUCAGGGUUCGAUUCCGGAGAGGGAGCCUGAGAAACGGCUACCACAUCUAAGGAAGGCAGCAGGCGCGUAAAUUACCCACUCCCAGUUCGGGGAGGUAGUGACGAAAAAUAACAAUACAGGACUCAUUUUAGAGGCAUUGUAAUUGGAAUGAGUACACUUUAAAUCCUUUAACGAGGACCCAUUGGAGGGCAAGCCAAGUGCCAGCAGCCGCGGUAACACUUGCUCCAAUAGCGUAUAUUAAUGUUGUUGCGGUUAAAACGUUCGUAGUUUAACCUGUGCUUCAUACGGGUAGUACUGAUUAUAGCUAUAGUCAUUUACUAUACCUUCGGUAUGUAAGCGUAUUAUCGGUGGGAGUUUCAUAUGUGUAUAUGUUGUGUAGGAUUGUGUUGGAAGUGGUUGUCGUGCUGUGUCAUUGCGGUAAUUGUGCUCGUUGUCCUCUAGCGGAGGUACAUCGUCAUAUUACGCAUGCGCUCACGUUUUGACGACAUUAUCAUCCAUUCUGCCAGUAUACAUGUAUACUCCUAAUUUUCUUUUUCAACACAGCGAAAAAGAAAAACCCAUCCCAGUGCUCUUUAUCGGGUGUUGUGUGGGCCGGUACAAUUACUUUGAACAAAUUAGAGUGCUUCAAGCAGGCUAUUAAAUGCCUGAAUAUUUUGUGCAUGGAAUAAUGAAAUAAGACCUCUGUUCUACUUUCAUUGGUUUCUAGAUCAAAAGAGGUAAUGAUUAAUAGAAGCAGUUUGGGGGCAUUAGUAUUACGACGCGAGAGGUGAAAUUCUUGGACCGUCGUAAGACUAACUUAAGCGAAAGCAUUUGCCAAAGAUGUUUUCAUUAAUCAAGAACGAAAGUUAGAGGUUCGAAGGCGAUCAGAUACCGCCCUAGUUCUAACCAUAAACGAUGCCAGCUAGCAAUUGGGUGUAGCUAAGAUUAUGGCUCACUCAGUCGCUCCCGGGAAACCAAAGCUUUUGGGCUCCGGGGGAAGUAUGGUUGCAAAGCUGAAACUUAAAGGAAUUGACGGAAGGGCACCACCAGGAGUGGAGCCUGCGGCUUAAUUUGACUCAACACGGGAAAACUUACCAGGUCCGAACAUAAGCGUGUAAGACAGAUUGAUAGCUCUUUCUCGAAUCUAUGGGUGGUGGUGCAUGGCCGUU